GUCCAAUUGGAGAACACACUUGUCCGAACACAUUAAUUACGAAUGAGAAGAUACAGAUGAACAACAGAGUGUAAGACGUGGAAGCCAUGCUGAUCACCCACGAAAGACGCUGGAAUAUGUUGGAAUACUUUACGCGAAUUGUGAAACUCCUGCCUCGUCCACCACCCAUGAACAACAAAUCAAAAAGUUUUGGAAAACACUCUGGAAGAAAAUUUGUCUCAGUAGCUUCCGUUCUUUUAUUACAUUAUCAUAAUGUCCAAUCAACAAACAUGAGGAUUUUAUGACUGGAUUCCGUGAUGACUGCAAACACUUUACGACGACAAUCAAAACAGACAAUGUAUCUGCAUAAGAGGAUACAAGUACGUAAGUGCAUACGCACAGCAGAAUGAAGCCAUUUAGUGUUUAGGAUACCGGGCGACAGACUGAAAUUUUACGAGUCGAACUGGAUAUUUACAGACGAGUAUGGAUAAUAAACAUUGCUAAAUGGAA